AUUAAAGCUGUGAAAAAGAGUAGUAUGCAGAAUUUUCAUUUUUAGAGAGUUUGUGGCUGGUGAGAACAAACAUUGAAACCUGCAGAAUGGACUUUGGAGCUUUCAAGUGCAAAGCUUGAACGUUGACCUCAACGUUAUAUGAAUAAAGAUAGUUCACAAUUAUGUGUGCUAAUUAGGGUGGCAACGCGGUCCAUUCGCCCCUAGC
rnacentral:ncRNA from 2 species